AACGAGACUCUGGCCUGCUAACUAGUCGGCGGAUCACCGCAAGGUGUCCGUCGCACCUUCUUAGAGGGAUAAGCGGCGUCUAGCCGCACGAGAUUGAGCAAUAACAGGUCUGUGAUGCCCUUAGAU
rnacentral:rRNA from 1 species